rnacentral:rRNA from 1 species
GACGUAGGGCGCGAGCGUUGUCCGGAUUUAUUGGGCGUAAAGAGCUCGUAGGCGGUGUGUCGCGUCGGCCGUGAAAACCUGCAGCUUAACUGUGGGCGUGCGGUCGAUACGGGCAUCACUGGAGUUCGGCAGGGGAGACUGGAAUUCCUGGUGUAGCGGUGAAAUGCGCAGAUAUCAGGAGGAACACCGGUGGCGAAGGCGGGUCUCUGGGCCGAUACUGACGCUGAGGCACGAAAGCGUGGGUAGCAAACAGG